rnacentral:rRNA from 1 species
AUUGAACGCUGGCGGCAUGCCUUACACAUGCAAGUCGAACGGUAACAGGUUAAGCUGACGAGUGGCGAACGGGUGAGUAAUAUAUCGGAACGUGCCCAGUCGUGGGGGAUAACUACUCGAAAGAGUAGCUAAUACCGCAUACGACCUGAGGGUGAAAGCGGGGGAUCGCAAGACCUCGCGCGAUUGGAGCGGCCGAUAUCAGAUUAGGUAGUUGGUGGGGUAAAAGCUCACCAAGCCAACGAUCUGUAGCUGGUCUGAGAGGACGACCAGCCACACUGGGACUGAGACACGGCCCAGACUCCUACGGGAGGCAGCAGUGGGGAAUUUUGGACAAUGGGCGCAAGCCUGAUCCAGCCAUGCCGCGUGCGGGAAGAAGGCCUUCGGGUUGUAAACCGCUUUUGUCAGGGAAGAAAAGGUUCUGGCUAAUACCCGGGACUCAUGACGGUACCUGAAGAAUAAGCACCGGCUAACUACGUGCCAGCAGCCGCGGUA